rnacentral:lncRNA from 1 species
GUUCUGAUGAGGUCAGAUAAGACAAAGCUAUGGUUUUUCUAGUAGUCAUAUAUGGAUAUGAGAGACUGUAAAGAAGGCUGAGCACAAAGAAUUAAUGCUUUCUAACUGUGGUGCUGGAGAAGACUCUUGAGAGUCCCUUGGACAGCAAGAUCAAACCAGCCAAUCCUAAAGGAAAUCAACCCUGAAUAUUUGUUGAAAUUCACACAUUUUUGCAGGUUUCUGCUAACCUCAUGAAGGUUAUUGCUAAUCUGAAGAGCAGAUGUCACUGUGAAGGAUUUUAGUGCUUUUCUAGAUGUGAGGAAAUGCAAGAAGAGGGCUCAUAAAAUCUUCUCCUGAGAACAUUUAACUAUCUAAAGAUCUCUUCUGCCAGUUUUUCCCAGAUCACAGAGUGCCUCAUUCCUGAUCUCCAGCCUGAACUCCUUUCAGGGGUGCUGAAGGUCAGUGGUCAUGGCAGCUUGUGAUUUAAUCUUUGUAGAGGCAGAUGGCAAGUGCCAAUUUGUAGCUGGCACACAGCACCGUUUUCCUAAGAGGGCAGAGCAGUCCCCACGCUGAGGAGGUGCCAGCACUCACUAUCUGUCAAAGUGCAUCCAUUUCAGAGGUAACCUGAAACUGUCUAAACAUUGCUGGUCUUGGAAAAAACACCUUCUCUGAUGAUAAACACACCCCUGCAUCUUCCUGGGGGCAGCCCGGGUCCAUGUGCCGAAUGGGCACAUGUCUACACGCCCUCGGGGCAAACAUUAAAUACUUUGCGAAGGGUUAAGGUCCAUGAGGAAGGUCUAAGUACUUUCUGCUGUGAGAAAAAUAUUCCAGGAUGAAGGGAUGAAAGGGCGGCUGGGACGCCAGGUGGGCAGUGGGCGAACAUCGGCCCCUCCUUUGUGCCGCGAUUUGGAAAGCUUCUUGAACAGGGCAUGUGGACCCUCCCCUCCCAUACGGGCCUCAGCUGGAAGAUGAGCCAGGAUUCUGAGCCCAAGACCCACACUGAAAGGAUUACCGUCGUGGUUCAAUUAUCCAGCAGGUCCGGUGGUGGAGACAGGCCCCCUGAGAGAGGUGAGAACUUAAAAAUGCCUGCUCACCUCCUUGGGCACCGAGAAAGCCCCCUUCACACCCAGAAUGGCUCCCCAGGUGCUUCCCCUCGUCUGGGGCUGAAUUAG